rnacentral:rRNA from 2 species
UAUUGGGCGUAAGAGCUCGUAGGCGGUUUGUCGCGUCUGCUGUGAAAUCCCGAGGCUCAACCUCGGGCUUGCAGUGGGUACGGGCAGACUAGAGUGCGGUAGGGGAGAUUGGAAUUCCUGGUGUAGCGGUGGAAUGCGCAGAUAUCAGGAGGAACACCGAUGGCGAAGGCAGAUCUCUGGGCCGUAACUGACGCUGAGGAGCGAAAGCAUGGGGAGCGAACAGGAUUAGAUACCCUGGUAGUCCAUGCCGUAAACGUUGGGCGCUAGAUGUAGGGACCUUUCCACGGUUUCUGUGUCGUAGCUAACGCAUUAAGCGCCCCGCCUGGGGAGUACGGCCGCAAGGCUAAAACUCAAAGGAAUUGACGGGGGCCCGCACAAGCGGCGGAGCAUGCGGAUUAAUUCGAUGCAACGCGAAGAACCUUACCAAGGCUUGACAUACACCGGAAACGGCCAGAGAUGGUCGCCCCCUUGUGGUCGGUGUACAGGUGGUGCAUGGUUGUCGUCAGCUCGUGUCGUGAGAUGUUGGGUUAAGUCCCGCAACGAGCGCAACCCUCGUUCUAUGUUGCCAGCGGGUUAUGCCGGGGACUCAUAGGAGACUGCCGGGGUCAACUCGGAGGAAGGUGGGGAUGACGUCAAAUCAUCAUGCCCCUUAUGUCUUGGGCUUCACGCAUGCUACAAUGGCCGGUACAAAGGGCUGCGAUACCGUAAGGUGGAGCGAAUCCCAAAAAGCCGGUCUCAGUUCGGAUUGAGGUCUGCAACUCGACCUCAUGAAGUCGGAGUCGCUAGUAAUCGCAGAUCAGCAACGCUGCGGUGAAUACGUUCCCGGGCCUUGUACACACCGCCCGUCAAGUCAUGAAAGUCGGUAACACCCGAAGCCGGUGGCCUAACCCUUGUGGAAGAGCCGUCGAAGUGGGAUCGG